GAGGAGCUGUCGGUCGUUCUCAUCCCCUCUCUCGCACGCAGGGUCGAACGCAGGUGACGACGGCGGCUACUGGAUGUCGGCGGCGGCCCUGACCACAUAACUCAGAUGAGCUAGGUGUUGAAGACUGCUGAACCGGAGAGAGGUGAUCACUACGACGGCUUCGACUUUCCUCCUUUGUUUGUUCCCAAGCCGAGGCCGCCUCCUCUGCUGCUGGUCUUCACAUUAACUAUUAGAGUAGCUCGUUAUGUCUACAAGCUUGACGAUGGAAGCGAGCAAGUUGUUGCCUUCGGCAUUGGCUGAUGAGGUAACACAUGCAGCACCACAACUUGAUGUGGCUGUCACUCCAACAAGGCACAUGAUCACUAUGCCAGCGAGUCUCCAAGGACGUCCCAAUCCAGUGACAAGAAGGAUGUUGGCCAUGGCAUAGGCUGAUGAGGCGUCGCAGAAACCUACCCCAACCGUGGAGGACACCAUUGUUGAGUAACGUGAUUGUAUUAGGAA